UACGUAGGAUGCAAGCGUUGUCCGGAAUUAUUGGGCGUAAAGAGCGCGCAGGCGGUAUGACAAGUCAGAUGUGAAAGAGGCCGACUUAACCGGCAAGGGUCAUUUGAAACUGUCAGACUAGAGUGCAGCAGAGGAUAGUGGAAUUCCCGGUGUAGUGGUGAAAUGCGUAGAUAUCGGGAGGAACACCAGUGGCGAAGGCGACUAUCUGGGCUGCAACUGACGCUGAGGCGCGAAGGCUAGGGUAGCAAACAGG
rnacentral:rRNA from 1 species